rnacentral:rRNA from 1 species
UACGUAGGGGGCUAGCGUUGUCCGGAAUCAUUGGGCGUAAAGAGCGUGUAGGCGGCUCAGUAAGUCCGCUGUGAAAGUCCAGGGCUCAACCCUGGAAUGCCAGUGGAAACUGUUGAGCUAGAGUCCGGAAGAGGCGAGUGGAAUCCUGGUGUAGCGGUGAAAUGCGCAGAUAUCAGGAGGAACACCAAUGGCGAAGGCAGCUCGCUGGGACGGUACUGACGCUGAGACGCGAAAGCGUGGGGAGCAAACAGG